rnacentral:rRNA from 1 species
UGAACGCUGGCGGCAUGCUUUACACAUGCACGUCGAACGGUAACAGGCCGCAAGGUGCUGACGAGUGGCGAACGGGUGAGUAAUGCAUCGGAACGUGCCCAGUCGUGGGGGAUAACUACUCGAAAGAGUAGCUAAUACCGCAUACGAUCUAUGGAUGAAAGCGGGGGACCGUAAGGCCUCGCGCGAUUGGAGCGGCCGAUGUCAGAUUAGGUAGUUGGUGGGGUAAAGGCUCACCAAGCCAACGAUCUGUAGCUGGUCUGAGAGGACAACCAGCCACACUGGGACUGAGACACGGCCCAGACUCCUACGGGAGGCAGCAGUGGGGAAUUUUGGACAAUGGGCGCAAGCCUGAUCCAGCAAUGCCGCGUGCAGGAAGAAGGCCUUCGGGUUGUAAACUGCUUUUGUACGGAACGAAACGGCUCUGGUUAAUACCCGGGGCUAAUGACGGUACCGUAAGAAUAAGCACCGGCUAACUACGUG